rnacentral:rRNA from 1 species
AUUGAACGCUGGCGGCAUGCUUUACACAUGCAAGUCGAACGGCAGCGCAGGCUUCGUCCUUGUGGCGAGUGGCGAUCGGGUGCGUAAUGCAUCUGAACCUGCCUCUUCGUGGUGGAUAGCCCUGCGAAAGCCGGAUUUAUACCGCUUCCGACUUCAGGCUUCAAGCGGGGGACCGAAAUGCCUCGCGCUCUUGGACCUGCCGAUGUCGGAUUAGCUAUUUGGUGGGGUAAAGGCUUACCAAGGCGACGAUCCGUAGCUGGUCUGAGAGGACGACCAGCCACACUGGGACUGAGACACGGCCCAGACUCCUACGGGAGGCAGCAGUGGGGAAUAUUGGACAAUGGGGGCAAGCCUGAUCCAGCCAUGCCGCGUGCGGGAAGAAGGCCUUCGGGUUGUAAAGCGCUUUUGUUCGGGAAGAAAUCCUCUGGGCUAAUACCCCGGGGGGAUGACGGUACCGGAAGAAUAAGCACCGGCUAACUACGUG